UACAGGAGGUCUCAAGCGUUGUUCGGAUUCAUUGGGCGUAAAGGGUGCGUAGGUGGUGAUGCAAGUCUGGUGUGAAAUCUCGGAGCUCAACUCCGAAAUUGCACCGGAUACUGCGUGACUCGAGGACUGUAGAGGAGAUCGGAAUUCACGGUGUAGCAGUGAAAUGCGUAGAUAUCGUGAGGAAGACCAGUUGCGAAGGCGGAUCUCUGGGCAGUAACUGACGCUGAGGAGCGAAAGGCGUGGGGGAGCGAACAGG
rnacentral:rRNA from 1 species